GACGAACGCUGGCGGCGUGCUUAACACAUGCAAGUCGAACGGAAAGGCCCUGCUUUUGUGGGGUGCUCGAGUGGCGAACGGGUGAGUAACACGUGAGUAACCUGCCCCUGACUUUGGGAUAACUUCAGGAAACUGGGGCUAAUACCGGAUAGGAGCUCCUGCUGCAUGGUGGGGGUUGAAAAGUUUCGGCGGUUGGGGAUGGACUCGCGGCUUAUCAGCUUGUUGGUGGGGUAGUGGCUUACCAAGGCUUUGACGGGUAGCCGGCCUGAGAGGGUGACCGGCCACAUUGGGACUGAGAUACGGCCCAGACUCCUACGGGAGGCAGCAGUGGGGAAUAUUGCACAAUGGGCGGAAGCCUGAUGCAGCAACGCCGCGUGCGGGAUGACGGCCUUCGGGUUGUAAACCGCUUUCGCCUGUGACGAAGCGUGAGUGACGGUAAUGGGUAAAGAAGCACCGGCUAACUACGUG
rnacentral:rRNA from 1 species